rnacentral:lncRNA from 1 species
CGAGUCGGCGGCCUGGGCGCCCGGGGAGCUGGCCCCGCGCGGCCCGGCGCGGCCCCGACCCGCCGCCGGCGCCGGGAGCCCGGUGGCCCCCAAACAGAGCGCUGAGGACCACCCAGAGGGCAGCAGUGUCUCUGAAGCCCCAGGCAGCUGCUACGAGAGGCCCGAGAGGCCAUCCACCAUCACCUACGACUACUCCGAGGAAGAGCUGAUGGCCAGCAUUGAGCAGGAGUACUGCUGCUGAGGCCGGUGCUGCAGCAGCCCCGCUGUCACCCAGCGGCCAGUUUGCUGCUCCUCCCAGACCUGGCCCCACCUGCCCUGCCCAAGGCUCUAGGUGGAGCUGAGCCCCCUCCAACACGCAGUUACUCCUGGAUCUGUCACAGCUGACCCUUUCAAGUCCACAUUCAGAUGGGCCUGAAUCGGGGUGGCUGCUGCCCAUUGUGCUUAUUGGCAAGAGGAGGUCAGCUCUGUGGACACGGGCCAGAAGGAGGGUGCAGGUGCUGCCCCACAGGCGCGGGGCCAGGUGACCUGCCACAUACCUGCCCCUCCCCUCAGUCUCUGGGGAGAGUGGGCUACAAGAUGCUCCUGGAUCUUGAAAUGCUUCUCCUUUCUGAUGGCCCACUGGCCACCUGCUCAGGAGGCCCUUGAGCUGAAUGAAAGUCUUGGGGCCUCUAACACCCCUGCCGCAGCGCCUCAGGGACGUUCCCCGCAGCAGGUGCACCCAGCUGGAGGGAGCUGGAGGGAGCCACCCUCCAUGCCGCAAAGGAAUCGCUGAAGAUGCUACUGAAAUGAAAACAUUCAGAUUCUGUGUGUCUGGGGGCCUGGGAGUCUGCAUUUCUCACCAGCUCCCGGGUGAGACCCAGGCUGCCAGAUCCCAGCCACCCUUGGAGCAGCGAGGAUUGAGUCUGAGCUUUAGGCUCCAGGUAAUGCUUCCCUGGAGCUGGAGGCUGCUCAGAGCCACAGCCCAGCUGCCUCCACAAAGAGAGGCCUGUGCUGUGGCCAGUGUGGAGGGACAGGAGCUGGAAACCCCCCGUCUGAUCCUUGCUCUGUCACUAACUUGCAGUCACCUUCCCUCUCUGACUCAGCUUCCCUUUCUAGAAAGGGAGCCCCGGAGGCUCUUCGGGUGUUGUCUCCCCACCCCCCCAUCUAGGACGACACACUCCCAGGCUUCCCUGGUCUCUGGGCACAGGACCGCCUUCCUGCCCAGGUGGAGCCCAGCACCCCUUGGACAGGCUCUUCAGGGCCGCCUGCUCUUCCCACCCAGGAAGAAAGUAGGAAUCUCACAGCCGCAAGGCCAGAAGAGCCUCAGAACCUUCCCAGCCGCCAAAGGAGAAAGCCAGCCAAGGAUGCCCUGUGAACGAGGCAGGGCCCGGAGAAGUGCAGCCUGGCCGGAAGGCUGCGUUCAGCAGGCUCGGAGUGUCAGAGCGGCCGGGAAGCAGCUCCUCUGGGGCAGCUGGCUGCGGUGUCGGUACAGAAAGCCUCGUGGAAGGCAUGGCCGCGUCCCAGCCAGAACAGGUCUCAGCUUGUCUGGUGUUAACCACUCACACAGCCGCCUCUGGGGCAUCGCCCACCAGCGAAGGGGCAAGAUGGUCUCAGAAACCGAGGAACGACCUCUUGGCCCUGUCCCCAGACCCAUGGGCCUGUUGCUAAAAGGGGCAAAGAGGUGUUUCCACGAACCUUUAAGACUUGGCAACUGUGCCUUUGAUCAGAUGGUCCAGGAGUGGGAGAUUUUAACCUGCAAGUCAGAAGAUGGAGCGCUGGAGCCUCCCACUAAAUGCCCCUGAGGGUUGGCUCAGAAUGUCCCCAAAGCAAGCGCUAUUUCUCAUCCAAGCCCAGACCUUUCAUUUUGAUAUGGAGAUUAAAGCCAAUACUAUUUCGAGAACACAAAUACUUCUUUUAAAAGAAGUUAUGACUUUCUCACCACUGGAUGGAUCAGACCUUGAAUUUAAUGAUGUGAAAUUGGAAACCUCAUCCAACCCUUAAUGAGAUAAAAGCACGAAGAACAAAAAAAGCUUCCUGAAGUUACAUUUUAUGUCACUGUCAAGGCGAAUGCACUUCAUCAGAGCUAAGAAGUCACAGCGGUUGUUCUCAGAUCUUUUUAUUUUUAUUUUUUGCUUCCCUGAAUUCAGGAACAGCGUCUUCUGAACAGCGGCUUGCCAAAAAAGCAGCGUGUCCCAGCCCGUGAUGCGGAGAUGGGCGAUGGACAGAGGACGCUUGGUGGUGGCAGGGGUGCUGGUCCUGGUGGCGACUGCUUGUUGCACUCAAUGGGCACACAGUGCCUCCUGGGUGCUGAGCACUGCUUCAGGCCUUCUCUUGGGUGCUGGGUGCUGCUUCUGAGCCCCCGCUUCUGCUUAGGAGCUGAGUGUGGCAUCUGCUCAGGGAGAAUGUGGCUGAAAUAAAGGCGGGAAAAGACCCUUCCAUGUUGAAAGUAACAAUGGGAGUUCCCCCUGUGGCUCAGCAGGUUAACAACCGACAUAGUGUCCCUGAGAACAUGGGUCCCAUCUCCGUCCUUGCUCAGCGGGUUAAGGAUCUGGCCAUGCUACAGGCUGCAGUCUAGGUCACAGACUCUGCUAGGAUCUGAUGUCGCUGUGCCUGUGGUGUAGGCUGGCAGCUGCAGCUUGGGUUAGAUCCCUAGUCUAGGAAGUUCCAUAUGCCGCAGGUGUGGCUAUAAAAAGAGAAAAAAAAGUGACAAUGACAGGUUGAAAGUCUCAGUGCUACAGAUGUGUCUCUUGAUUUCUGUGGUGGCAAUUCCCUCUGAGAUGCUACAAAGCCCGGGAGUUAAGAAAACAUGCUUGGAGUUCCCAUUGUGGCGAAGCGGAAAUGAAUCCAACUAGGACCCAUGAGGUUGCAGGUUCCAUCCCUGGCCUUGCUCAGUGGGUUAAGGAUCUGGCGUUACCGUGAGCUGUGGUGUAGGUUGCAGACGUGGCUCGGAUCCCCCCCUUGCUGUGGCUGUGGUGUAGGCCGGUGUCUACAGCUCCGAUUCGACCCUUAGCCUGGGAACCUCCAUAUGCAGCCCUAAAAAGAUAAAAGACAAAAAAAAAAAGAAAAGAAAAGAAAAA